GACGAACGCUGGCGGCGUGCUUAACACAUGCAAGUCGAACGGAAAGGCCCUGCUUUUGUGGGGUGCUCGAGUGGCGAACGGGUGAGUAACACGUGAGUAACCUGCCCUUGACUUUGGGAUAACUUCAGGAAACUGGGGCUAAUACCGGAUAGGAGCUCCUGCUGCAUGGUGGGGGUUGGAAAGUUUCGGCGGUUGGGGAUGGACUCGCGGCUUAUCAGCUUGUUGGUGGGGUAGUGGCUUACCAAGGCUUUGACGGGUAGCCGGCCUGAGAGGGUGACCGGCCACAUUGGGACUGAGAUACGGCCCAGACUCCUACGGGGGGCAGCGGUGGGGAAUAUUGCACAAUGGGCGGAAGCCUGAUGCAGCGGCGCCGCGUGCGGGAUGACGGCUUUCGGGUUGUAAACCGCUUUCGCCUGUGACGAAGCGUGAGUGACGGUAAUGGAUAAAGAAGCACCGGCUAACUACGUG
rnacentral:rRNA from 1 species